UUGGCUUUUCUUAUGAAGUCAGAUUGCCU
rnacentral:piRNA from 1 species